GAGGAGAGCUUUCAUUUUGAGGCGCGUGUGUCUGCUACUCAGUGAUGAUCGGGGUAGUUCCUCAUUACCAAUGUCAGCGUUGGGCUGCACGGUGUUCCGCUUGAGCAUGUCAUGGCAGUCCAUGCACCAGGCGGUUUCUCACUUGGUUCAUCAUGAAGAGGCCGUCAUUUGUGUCAAAAACACCGUCAGGGCUAAGGUUUACAAAUGGUCCCACCACAAAGCCAGGCCAGGGCAUGCUGGGCCCUUGUCACCCCAGAGGCUGCCCUGACCAGUAGUGUCAUGACCCCUGGACACAGGUGCUCCACGUGAGCAGAGAGGUUGGCCGAAGUUUGGGUGAUGUCCCACACUCCAGAUGGGCCUCAGGGUCGCACAUGGCCACCACCAGAAUGGUGGGCUGUUCACAGCUGUCGUCAGAUGUUGAAGCAGUUCUGUCAAGGCGAGGAUACUGGUGUUUCCUCUCUGCACAUCCGGUUGCUUGCGCACAAAUAUGUAAGUAGCGUGGCUGUUGGUGUGGCCUGAGAAUAGCCGUGCUGGCUAGCCGGUCUUGCUGAGCUCCCACAUGGAACAGACCAACAGCCAUGAGCCUCCCAGAGAAGGACUCACCACUCAGCAUGGGCACUGACAACGUACCGUCCACCUGUCCCAGGCCACCAGCUCCUGCUCCCCCCCAGGAAAUGUCGCUGUCAUCACAGGGGCUUCCUGUCUGCUCCAUCACACCCAGCACACAGUAGGAGACAUAGUUCUUGGCUGGCACUUGGUCAUCUCCAUGUGUGCAGUCUCUACAUCUCCUUGCUAGCGACCUGUGUAUCUGAGAGCGUGUGAGCUACAACUGUCAGAUGGUUUCUUCAGGGAGCCGAGCAGGACCGCAGUCUCCCUAGCCAUGGAGCUCUGGGGGAAGUGCAGUCAGGGGUGCAUUUAUGCUUCCAGCCGGAGAAACUUGAACAUGUGAUCAGCGGACGUGAGCGUCUGUGGCCACAAGGACUGUAGUGAUUCAGCUCUGAGCAGCCUCCUGGGAACCUUGGGAAGGUAAAGAGUGAGGCACGGACCACGUGCGCCUCAUCAGGAUGACGCUGAACUCUUCAAGGACCAGGGAUGCGUAGGCUGCCACUUGGGCCACCCACACUCCCUGUCCCAGGGCCAGGACUCAGUCCCAGCUCCACUCUGAGUCCGAGCUUUUUGCUGAUGCAGACCCUGGAAGGCAGUACUUGAUGGUGCAACCCUGGCCAACCCAGCCAAUGAACCAGUAGAUGGAAGCUCUCAUCCUGUCUCUCUGCCUCCCAAAUCAAUAGAAAAAUGUGGUUUGAAAAUAUGCAAAAAUACAAUUGAGAUUAAACAGAAAGGCAUAUGGGGAGGUCAUAUUAAUUAUGCAAGUAUCUGGGGCCUGGUGCAAUGGCUUAGUGGCUAAAUCUUUGCUCUGCAUGAGCUGGAUCCCGUAUGGGCGCCAGUUCUAAUCCCAGCAGCUCCACUUCCCAUCCAGCUCCCUGCUUGUGGCCUGUGAAAGCAUCAGAGGACGGCCCAAGGCCUUGGGACUCUGCAAUCAUAUGGGUAGCCAAGAAGAGGUUUCUAGCACCUGGCUUCAAAUCAGCUUAGCUCUGGACAUUGUGGCCACUUGGGAAGUGAACCAGCAGACAGAUCUUUCUCUGUGUCUAGCCUUCUCUGUGUAAAUCUGCCUUUCUAAUAAAAGGAAAAGAAAUCUUUAAAAAAAAAA